ACCACACAAGCUUCCAGAUUCUUGCAAACCCCUCCCCAACACCAAGUCCUUGAAUUCCAAACACCCCAACCCAAAAUCCAAAAACCCCCAAAAAGUUUUAAAAGUUUAAAAGAAGUUUUGGAAAAGCUUCAAAAAUCACCAAAGUCUUCAAAAACCUCAAAAAAGGCUACCACACCGCGUUCUAUGAGUUGCUCCUCGAAGUCAAGUCGCAACUGUAUUAAUGGUGUUAAGAAAAAGGAAACAAACUUGCAAGACGUUUUCGUUUUUCGUCUUGCGAAGCAAGCCCAUAGGGAAAUUCAUCUUGCGAAGCAGCUCAAAAAACGGAAAACCCUUUCGUCUAGCGAGUUUUUCGUCUUGCGAGGCAUUUGUCUUGCGGGGCACCACUGUAAAUGACUUCUUCACAGGUUAGCUCAUAGGCUCAUAGAGUUGGAAGGGACCACGGGGGUCAUCUAAUCCAACCCCCUGCAAUGGAGAGUUGUCUCUUACUGCACAGCCUGGGCUCACAUGCUGCUGUAGACUCCCGUCUCCAUCACACCUUUGGCUGUGGAGUUGCAGCUGGAUGACUUCUACAUGGGGACAGAAAGCUGCUGUUCUCCUUAUGCUCUUCUGGGCAGGUGUGUAUGUGUGUGUUUGUUUUUAUUCACAACCCCUCUUCUCCCAAAUUCCUUUUCUGCUCUCAUAUCUUCAGUUUGGAAUCUCUCUGGUGGAUUCUCCUCUGAAAAGCUCUAAUGCAAUCUCUUUGGAGAAAUCCUUUGUUGCCUAUAGCAGCGGUUAAGAUCUCCACCCCCUAAAAAUGAUUGUGCUCCAGGCAUCCUACAGAGAGUUCCACUGCACAGAAUUACACCAGUAUUUCUGAAUUUACAGCCUCUGCUGUAAAACAUUUUCAGCAGUAGAGUGUGAAAGUCCUCUUAGACCUUUAUUUGACUAUGCAGUCUGAUUCUAUAUAAGGCCUUUCCUGUUAUACCUUCCUAUAGAACUUGUUUAUGCAGGUGUUCUAUACAUAAAUACAGCUUAAAUAACCUACAAAGUGGUCCACCUAAAGCUGGAAUUCUCACUUGCAGACAUCUUCCAGCAGAUGACUUUUCUGGUGGGAAGAUACAAAACUUUAUAAUGAGGAAACCAGCUCAUUUCAUAGGGUUAUCCAUGAAAGAAAUCUCUCCCAUUUUUGUGUCCAAAAAACUGUCACACCAACCAUGGUAAUGUUAAGAACAGUAUUUCUUAUUCCUACAGAAAUGUUAACUUGGUACAUACUUUGCUUUCACUUUGUCUUUUAGACUGUAAUCCUGUAUCUUCUUACCUAAGAAUAAGCACCGUUGAGUUCAUGGGUACUUACUUUGAACAGACAGUGAUAUGACUCUCUUAAAGUUUUCAGGAAUUAAGUUAAAACAAUAACACUUGAACUGGUGUGACUUUCUGGCACACAACUUCCACCCCGUCACACCAGCUGCCUCUAUUGCGGUAGCAACAGCUUCUGUCUUCCAAUGUGAUGCAAACUGCUACCUAAUGCUAACUUUACAAACAUACAAUUGAGUUAGGUUAUAAAAAAAACUACUUUGUAAUUUUAAACCUGAAAAUUCCAGUAACUCCUUCAACUCUCAAGCAAGUUCCUUUUAAGUCUGUUUAAUAGGAGAAUGCACAAAAAAUUAUUUGUGCAUAUAUUUCAAUAGAGGGUUGUCCUCUGUACGAAAGAAGUUAUAUUCCUUGUUUUUUUCCAUUAUCGUAUGAAAUAUACUCAUAGAGUCCUGCAGUGAUUUCAUGCUCUUUAUUGCAGCUUGUAAAACAGUGACUGAAUUUCCCCCCAAACCUCAGGCUUUUUUAUACAUUAUUUACACAAUGAGUCCUGUCUGAUUGGCUGAUUCUGCUUCCCUCCUGGAGCCUGAUUGGGCUGCUACUGCAGGCCAAUCAGUUGUUGCAUUCUACGAUCCUACUUACCUGUUGUUCUAGGAUCCAAGCUUAGUACAGUGGUACCUCGGGUUAAGUACUUAAUUCGUUCCAGAGGUCCGUUCUAAACCUGAAACUGUUCUUAACCUGAAGCACCACUUUAGCUAAUGGGGCCUCCUGCUGCCGCUGCACCACCGGAGCACGAUUUCUGUUCUCAUCCUGAAGCAAAGUUCUUAACCUGAGGUAAUAUUUCUGGGUUAGCGGAGUCUGUAACCUGAAGCGUAUGUAACCUGAAGCGUAUGUAACCCAAGGUACCACUGUACAUAACAUCAUACAUUGGGUUCUUUUUGUGUACUGUAUUCCAAAACUGCCUUCUGAUUUAACAUGGGGAGUGUCUAAGUGUCUGGAGCUGACACAUUAAGAUUUUACAGCUUUUUUUCAUCCAUUCAAUCUUGUCCCUCUUUUCGUAACCAAGGGGACGAAACUGCACAUGCACCAGGGGCCUGUCCAAAGUGGAUAACAAGCUCAGCAGGUUAUUGACUUUUGUUCUUAUAAAAAUACAGAGUCAUUUUGAAUUCCCAAAUCUGGGAAGCAUAGGAAUAAUGUAAUAAACAUAGGGAUAAUGUAAUAAGCAUUCCAAUCUGAGUUGAGUUUUAAGAUGUGAGUGAAUAACCAGUGUUUUAGCCAUGUGCACAGUGAGCUCUGUUCUGUUGCUGAUUUCCUCCCCUUUGCCAUUUAGUUUUGUCUGUCUCACUACGCAAUUGUCAUGCUGAAGUUUAGACUGCAUUAAUCAUUGUCACGUGUUGUACCACUGGGGCACUUGCACAACUGCAUUGCCAUGACAAAUGCAGGAAGAGGAUUAGCAAAACACUCUACCUGUGGUUUGCAUUGUGCUUCUGAAAUGUUAAGUGCUGGUUGUAGUGUGCUGCCAGGAGCUUCUAGAUGGGGAUCAGUUGCUGAAAAAUAAGAAAAGCCCACAUUUGUUGACUUCUAACACUUCACUUUCAUUUAUAGGGCCAUUUGAGUUUUCCAUGUUUGGGGAGGGGCAUUUUACACACAUAGAUACCCACAGUGAAUGUUAUGUGGAAGAAACCAUCACGUCUGCACACUGGUGGUCUGUUAAUUUUUAGCCAUCCCUCCACGAACUUCUAAGGGAAGAGUACUGGUGAGUUUGAUGAAGUCAUUUCCCCAAAUGGAGGAAAAACAAACAAACAGAAAUGUACUGAAUGUGUUUAGAUUUCAGUUUAAGGCUGACUUAAUUUUCUUUUGACAAAGAAAAGCACUUUCUUGAAUGAAAUAGAUACUGUGUGUAUUUACCUGAGGCUUGUAGAAAUAGCUUAUAUGACUGGGCUGGCUCCGUAAACCCCAAGAUGUCUGGCUCAGCAAACUUUAAAUAUGAAGAGGUCUGCAAAUGUGGGACAGCAGCUUAGGCUAGGCCAUCCAGCUAUCUUGGCCUGCAAAAACAGAAAGAGAGAAGCAUUUUUUUUUCCUGGGAUGGAAAGAAGUGCCAUAGAAAGUGAUUUACUUUCUUUAGGAUUUAGAGAAAGCUCGUCCCUUUGAAACUCAUCGAUAUUUAAAUCCUAGUCCAAAACAGAUUGUGUAAACAAGAAGCAAUAUAAAAAGUGUUCAGCUAAAAUUUGGCUUCAGGAUGUCUGUUGUCCAUGCACUUCUGAAGCAUCUGGGACUUUAGAACUUGUCUUUAAAAUAUCUUUCACGUAAUGAUGGUACCUAUUCUGCACUUUCGCUAUGACUGUUUAAGUAGUUUCUUUUUAAACACUUUUUCUAAUUGCAUGGAUAAGUGACCUUGCUUGUGGAGCAUGCUAUAUGUUGACAGAGUGCAUUACUUCAUUUUGCCUCGUUGGCAACUUGAGAUCUUAAGAAAACAAUACUGAGGUUACUCUCAUUCUGCUAUCCUUGGAAUGUUGCUUGGAUUUUAAUUUAACUCUGUCGCUGCAUGAUACCCACACGGAGAGUUGCUUUUUCAAAGGCAGUAGAAAUAAAACGCCUGAAAUCAGGAAAGCAAAACUACCGCCAUUUUUUACUUUCCCCACCAGUAAGAGGUCUUGUAGCACUUAUGUUUUUGCAUUACCAAUUACAUAUUUUAGGACCACUAGAAGAAUAAAUGAGAAAGUAAAUGGCCUCCCUUCCUUGCAACAUCUUGCAGCUGUUCUGCAGAGCAGCUUCAGUGACUGAAUGUAAGCUUCAUUUAAUUUUUCUUUUAAAGGCACAGCUCUCAGAAUUCAGUCUGGCAAUCUAUCUGUGUUCUGGCUUUGCUUGAGUACUCAAAUUAUUAUUCCCAAAACUUUCCCUUGAGACUAUUAUUCAGAGGAAGAGGGCAGGGGAAGCGAAGGAAUCAAAGCCAGUGGGAGCUAGAUUCUUGCUCAUGCUUAUCUGUGGCCAGUGUGCCAAGAUUUUUAACUCUUCGCAGUUUAUAUUUAGUUCUAUAAGCUCAUUUGCCAACAGUGAUGACUGUAGUCAAAAAGUCAUGUUUUCCCAUUGUAUGCAGUAAAAUAGUUUCUUUGAACACUAGGUCACUGAAGUACUGUAACUUUGACACAAUUCAGAUUAACUACUUUUCAUUGCAACCCCUAUGCAUGUAUGUCUACUGAAAAGCAAGUCCCAUUCAAUUCAACUGGACUUUCUCCCAGGGAAGUAGGUAUAGGUUUACAAUUAUUCUAACUUUGACUUGUACAGAGGAUGUUCCUGGUAGAUUACGCAAGCUUUGAAUAAUUAAGAUAAUGUGAAGGCCGCUGCACAGAGUUUGGAGUUCUGUUGACAAUGAGAUCAUGUUUAAGGAUUGGGACAAGAAAUGACACUUAACUUGUUUUUUUUUUAAAAAUAAUAUUUAUUAUUUUCCCAAAAACUUAAACACUAAAAAGACAAUACAAUACAAUACAUUAAACUAACAG